GGUGGUUUGUCGCGUUGUUCGUGAAAACUCACAGCUUAACUGUGGGCGUGCGGGCGAUACCGGGCAGACUGGAGUACUGCAGGGGAGACUGGAAUUCCUGGUGUAGCGGUGGAAUGCGCAGAUAUCAGGAGGAACACCGGUGGCGAAGGCGGGUCUCUGGGCAGUAACUGACGCUGAGGAGCGAAAGCGUGGGGAGCGAACAGGAUUAGAUACCCUGGUAGUCCACGCCGUAAACGGUGGGUACUAGGUGUGGGUUUCCUUCCUUGGGAUCCGUGCCGUAGCUAACGCAUUAAGUACCCCGCCUGGGGAGUACGGCCGCAAGGCUAAAACUCAAAGGAAUUGACGGGGGCCCGCACAAGCGGCGGAGCAUGUGGAUUAAUUCGAUGCAACGCGAAGAACCUUACCUGGGUUUGACAUGCACAGGACGGCGGCAGAGAUGUCGUUUCCCUUGUGACCUGUGUGCAGGUGGUGCAU
rnacentral:rRNA from 1 species